rnacentral:antisense_RNA from 1 species
CCACGGGGCCGCCUGGAGAGGUGCUGGGAGCUGGGUGGAGCUUAGAGGAAUUAAACUUUGGCCCUGCGCCUCGUCCAGCCUAGGUUCCACCCUUUUCUGGGAAAGUGAGUAUCAACCAAGGCUGGAGUGCAGUGGCACCAUCUCGGCUCACUGCAACCUCUAGCUCCCAGGUUCAAGCGAUUCUCCUGACUCAGCCCCCUGAGUAGCUGGGAUUACAGGCACGCGCCACCACUCCCAGUUCACACCCCGCCACUCCUGAGCACCGCACACCGGCUUCCUCCCAGUCCCUCAUCUGAGAACUCAUGAAGCCACUUGGAAUCCCUCUCUGCUUUGCCUGGCUCAUUCCAUGUCAAUUUCAGAUCUUCGCUUCAGGUCAGCUCCAAGGAGGCUAUCCUUGCCCAUCUUCCUAAAAUAGAGCUCUCAAAACCUGGCUGUUUUCCUUCAGAGCACUGGCCUCCAAUUGCACCGGUAGAUGGCAAAUAACAUGCUUUCUUUCUGUUCCCGGGCUGCGUUCGGACCCCUGUCGGAGAGUAAAUCCCAACUAAGGUACCUGCCGUCGGCAGAUUUGAGCUUUCUUCUUGGACACGUAUUACCCACAGUCCUCCAGACUCUGGUAGAUUGCAUAUAACCUGCUUUCUUUCUGUUCCCGGGCGGCAUCAGACCCGUCGGAGAGUAAAUCCCAAGUAAGGUACCUGCCGUCGGCAGAUUGGAGCUUUCUUCUUGGACACCUAAUACCCACAGUCCUCCAG